UACGUAGGGGGCUAGCGUUGUUCGGAAUUACUGGGCGUAAAGGGCGCGUAGGCGGCUUCGCUAGUCGGGUGUGAAAUGCCUGGGCUCAACCCAGGAACUGCACUCGAAACUCCGAGGCUAGAGUGUGGGAGAGGAUAGUGGAAUUCCCAGUGUAGAGGUGAAAUUCGUAGAUAUUGGGAAGAACACCGGUGGCGAAGGCGGCUAUCUGGACCACAACUGACGCUGAGGCGCGAAAGCGUGGGGAGCAAACAGG
rnacentral:rRNA from 1 species